GAGCGGAUGAAGGGAGCUUGCUCCCGGAUUCAGCGGCGGACGGGUGAGUAAUGCCUAGGAAUCUGCCUGGUAGUGGGGGACAACGUUUCGAAAGGAACGCUAAUACCGCAUACGUCCUACGGGAGAAAGCAGGGGACCUUCGGGCCUUGCGCUAUCAGAUGAGCCUAGGUCGGAUUAGCUAGUUGGUGAGGUAAUGGCUCACCAAGGCGACGAUCCGUAACUGGUCUGAGAGGAUGAUCAGUCACACUGGAACUGAGACACGGUCCAGACUCCUACGGGAGGCAGCAGUGGGGAAUAUUGGACAAUGGGCGAAAGCCUGAUCCAGCCAUGCCGCGUGUGUGAAGAAGGUCUUCGGAUUGUAAAGCACUUUAAGUUGGGAGGAAGAGUUGUAGAUUAAUACUCUGCAAUUUUGACGUUACCGACAGAAUAAGCACCGGCUAACUCUGUG
rnacentral:rRNA from 1 species